rnacentral:rRNA from 1 species
AACGAACGCUGGCGGCAGGCUUAACACAUGCGAGUCGAGCGCCCCGCAAGGGGAGCGGCAGACGGGUGAGUAACGCGUGGGAAUCUACCCAUCUCUACGGAAUAACGCAUGGACACGUGUGCUAAUACCGUAUACGUCCUUCGGGAGAAAGAUUUAUCGGAGAUGGAUGAGCCCGCGUUGGAUUAGCUAGUUGGUGGGGUAAAGGCCUACCAAGGCGACGAUCCAUAGCUGGUCUGAGAGGAUGAUCAGCCACACUGGGACUGAGACACGGCCCAGACUCCUACGGGAGGCAGCAGUGGGGAAUAUUGGACAAUGGGCGCAAGCCUGAGCCAGCCAUGCCGCGUGAGUGAUGAAGGCCCUAGGGUUGUAAAGCUCUUUCACCGGUGAAGAUAAUGACGGUAACCGGAGAAGAAGCCCCGGCUAACUUCGUGCCAGCAGCCGCAGUAACAC